GUGGGGAAUAUUGGACAAUGGGGGCAACCCUGAUCCAGCCAUGCCGCGUGUGUGAAGAAGGCCUUUUGGUUGUAAAGCACUUUAAGCAGUGAAGAAGACUCUAUGGUUAAUACCCAUAGACGAUGACAUUAGCUGCAGAAUAAGCACCGGCUAACUCUGUGCCAGCAGCCGCGGUAAUACAGAGGGUGCAAGCGUUAAUCGGAAUUACUGGGCGUAAAGCGAGCGUAGGUGGCUUAAUAAGUCAGAUGUGAAAUCCCCGGGCUUAACCUGGGAACUGCAUCUGAUACUGUUGGGCUAGAGUAGGUGAGAGGGAGGUAGAAUUUCAGGUGUAGCGGUGAAAUGCGUAGAGAUCUGAAGGAAUACCGAUGGCGAAGGCAGCCUCCUGGCAUCAUACUGACACUGAGGUUCGAAAGCGUGGGUAGCAAACAGG
rnacentral:rRNA from 1 species